rnacentral:rRNA from 1 species
UACGUAGGGUGCGAGCGUUGUCCGGAAUUACUGGGCGUAAAGAGCUCGUAGGUGGUUUGUCGCGUUGUUCGUGAAAUCUCACAACUCAAUUGUGAGCGUGCGGGCGAUACGGGCAGACUGGAGUACUGCAGGGGAGACUGGAAUUCCUGGUGUAGCGGUGGAAUGCGCAGAUAUCAGGAGGAACACCGGUGGCGAAGGCGGGUCUCUGGGCAGUAACUGACGCUGAGGAGCGAAAGCGUGGGGAGCGAACAGG